AUCCCAUCUCCACCAUCUGGCUAGGAUCAAAUGCAGUACUUGUUCCUAUCAGCUUGUAUCUGGUGUGCUCUCAGUUUAAGGGCUUUAUAUUAAGCAGAUACGUUAGGUGUCCGCACACACUCUGUACAUCCAUCUGGUAUUGUAACGCUUCCAGGAGUGGUGCAGAGAUA
rfam:Aptenodytes forsteri contig44729, whole genome shotgun sequence.